rnacentral:sRNA from 1 species
AGUCACGAAAUCUCCACAAGCCCUCCCUGCUACUUUCGGGGCAUGGCAGGGGUCAAAGGCCUGGGGUCUGGGGUCUGCUUUGCGUUUGUUCAUCAGAAACACAAACACACAGUGACCAUCUGUCCUCCAGCAAAAUCUCACCCUGAGUCAUAGACUGUGGCCAUCUGGAGAUCAGCUGCCAUGGUUACCUCCAGCAGAGGAACCAGCAUUCCAGCUGACAGUCCCUCUGCCCUCCUUCCGGGCUGAUACCCUGGAAGCCAAGUCCUGCAUGAGAUGAACCAGGGUGGCUCUGGGCCUGAGGCUGGCACCCAGAGCUCAGUGAACAUGACCCGAUGGUGAACAUCAUCUCGGUUUCCCCACCCAGGUUGGAGGCAUCUCUGACACCAAUCAGAUCUUCGGCCUGAGCGAGACCGAACCUGGCUCCUUCCUGUAUUAUGCUCCCUUCGAUGGCAUCCUGGGGCUGGCCUACCCCAGCAUUUCCUCCUCCGGGGCCACACCCGUCUUUGACAACAUCUGGAACCAGGGCCUGGUUUCUCAGGACCUCUUCUCUGUCUACCUCAGCGCCGAUGACCAGAGUGGCAGCGUGGUGAUCUUUGGUGGCAUUGACUCUUCUUACUACACUGGAAGUCUGAACUGGGUGCCUGUUACCGUUGAGGGUUACUGGCAGAUCACCGUGGACAGCAUCACCAUGAACGGAGAGGCCAUCGCCUGCGCUGAGGGCUGCCAGGCCAUUGUUGACACCGGCACCUCUCUGCUGACCGGCCCAACCAGCCCCAUUGCCAACAUCCAGAGUGACAUCGGAGCCAGCGAGAACUCAGACGGCGACAUGGUGGUCAGCUGCUCAGCCAUCAGCAGCCUGCCCGACAUCGUCUUCACCAUCAAUGGAGUCCAGUACCCCGUGCCACCCAGUGCCUACAUCCUGCAG